rnacentral:rRNA from 1 species
UUAUCGUUUAUUUGAUAGUACCUUACUACUUGGAUAACCGUGGUAAUUCUAGAGCUAAUACAUGCUAAAAACCCCGACUUCGGAAGGGGUGUAUUUAUUAGAUAAAAAACCAAUGCCCUUCGGGGCUCCUUGGUGAUUCAUAAUAACUUCACGAAUCGCAUGGCCUUGCGCCGGCGAUGGUUCAUUCAAAUUUCUGCCCUAUCAACUUUCGAUGGUAGGAUAGUGGCCUACCAUGGUUUCAACGGGUAACGGGGAAUUAGGGUUCGACUCCGGAGAGGGAGCCUGAGAAACGGCUACCACAUCCAAGGAAGGCAGCAGGCGCGCAAAUUACCCAAUCCCGACACGGGGAGGUAGUGACAAUAAAUACUGAUACAGGGCUCUUUUGGGUCUUGUAAUUGGAAUGAGUACAAUUUAAAUCCCUUAACGAGGAACAAUUGGAGGGCAAGUCUGGUGCCAGCAGCCGCGGUAAUUCCAGCUCCAAUAGCGUAUAUUAAAGUUGUUGCAGUUAAAAAGCUCGUAGUUGAACCUUGGGCCUGGCUGGCCGGUCCGCCUCACCGCGUGUACUGGUCCGGCCGGGCCUUUCCUUCUGGGGAUCCGCAUGCCCUUCACUGGGUGUGUCGGGGAACCAGGACUUUUACUUUGAAAAAAUUAGAGUGUUCAAAGCAGGCCUAUGCUCGAAUACAUUAGCAUGGAAUAAUAGAAUAGGACGUGUGGUUCUAUUUUGUUGGUUUCUAGGACCGCCGUAAUGAUUAAUAGGGACAGUCGGGGGCAUCAGUAUUCAAUCGUCAGAGGUGAAAUUCUUGGAUCGAUUGAAGACUAACUACUGCGAAAGCAUUUGCCAAGGAUGUUUUCAUUAAUCAGGAACGAAAGUUAGGGGAUCGAAAACGAUCAGAUACCGUUGUAGUCUUAACCAUAAACUAUGCCGACUAGGGAUCGGACGAUGUUAUUUUUUGACUCGUUCGGCACCUUACACGAAAGUAAAGUUUUUGGGUUCUGGGGGGAGUAUGGUCGCAAGGCUGAAACUUAAAGAAAUUGACGGAAGGGCACCACAAGGGGUGGAGCCUGCGGCUUAAUUUGACUCAACACGGGGAAACUCACCAGGUCCAGACACAACUAGGAUUGACAGAUUGAGAGCUCUUUCUUGAUUUUGUGGGUGGUGGUGCAUGGCCGUUCUUAGUUGGUGGAGUGAUUUGUCUGCUUAAUUGCGAUAACGAACGAGACCUUAACCUGCUAAAUAGCCCGUUCCGCUUAGGCGGAACGCUGGCUUCUUAGAGGGACUAUCGGCUCAAGCCGAUGGAAGUUUGAGGCAAUAACAGGUCUGUGAUGCCCUUAGAUGUUCUGGGCCGCACGCGCGCUACACUGACAGAGCCAGCGAGUUCCUCCUUGGCCGGAAGGCCCGGGUAAUCUUGUGAAACUCUGUCGUGCUGGGGAUAGAGCAUUGCAAUUAUUGCUCUUCAACGAGGAAUCCCUAGUAAGCGCAAGUCAUCAGCUUGCGUUGAUUACGUCCCUGCCCUUUGUACACACCGCCCGUCGCUACUACCGAUUGAAUGGUUCAGUGAGGCGUUGGGACUGGCCCAGGGAGGUCGGCAACGACCACCCAGGGCCGGAAACUUCUCCAAACUCGAUCAUUUAGAGGAAGUAAAAGUCGUAACAAGGUCUCCGUUGGUGAACCAGCGGAGGGAUCAUUGCUGGAACAAACGCCCUCACGGGUGCUACCCAGAAACCCUUUGUGAACUUAUAACUUGUUGCCUCGGCAGUGGUUGGCUUCGAAUGAAGUCCCUUACAAUCCUUCUGGCGCGUAAGGAGCAGACCGGCCGACGGCCCUAUAAACUCUUGUUUUUGUAAUAUCAUCUGAGUAAAACAACUAAAAUGAAUCAAAACUUUCAACAACGGAUCUCUUGGUUCUGGCAUCGAUGAAGAACGCAGCGAAAUGCGAUAAGUAAUGUGAAUUGCAGAAUUCAGUGAAUCAUCGAAUCUUUGAACGCACAUUGCGCCCGGUGGUAUUCCACCGGGCAUGCCUGUUCGAGCGUCAUUUCAACCCUCAAAAAUCCUGUAUUUUUGGUGUUGGAGGAAUACCUGUUACAGGGUACCCUCUGAAAUUUAGUGGCGGGCUCGCUAGAAUUUUGAGCGUAGUAAUUUAUACCUCGUUUUUAAAGACUAGUGGGACUUCUUGCCGUAAAACCCCCCAACUUUCUGAAAUUUGACCUCGGAUCAGGUAGGAAUACCCGCUGAACUUAAGCAUAUCAAUAAGCGGAGGAAAAGAAACCAACAGGGAUUGCCUUAGUAACGGCGAGUGAAGCGGCAACAGCUCAAAUUUGAAAUCUGGCUUCGGCCCGAGUUGUAAUUUGUAGAGGAAGUUUAUGGUGCGGUACCUUCCGAGUUCCCUGGAACGGGACGCCACAGAGGGUGAGAGCCCCGUCUGGUUGGAUACCAAACCUGUGUUAAACUCCUUCAACGAGUCGAGUAGUUUGGGAAUGCUGCUCUAAAUGGGAGGUAAAUCUCUUCUAAAGCUAAAUACCGGCCAGAGACCGAUAGCGCACAAGUAGAGUGAUCGAAAGAUGAAAAGCACCUUGAAAAGGGGGUUAAACAGUACGUGAAAUUGUUGAAAGGGAAGCGUUUAUGACCAGACUUGUGCCGUGUGGCUCAUCCGAGGUUCUCCCCGGUGCACUCCACACGGUUCAGGCCAACAUCGGUUUUCGCUGGGGGAUAAGAACAGUAGGAACGUAGCUCCCCUCGGGGAGUGUUAUAGCCUAUUGUACGAUACCCUGGCGGGGACCGAGGACCGCGCUUCGGCUAGGAUGUUGGCGUAAUGGUCAUUAGCGACCCGUCUUGAAACACGGACCAAGGAGUCGUCCAUUAGAGCGAGCGUUUGGGUGUAAAACCCGCACGCGUAAUGAAAGUGAAAUUAGGUGAGAGCUUCGGCGCAUCAUCGACCGAUCCUGAAGUUUACGGAUGGAUUUGAGUAAGAGUUUUAACGGACGGACCCGAAAGACAGUGAACUAUGCUUGAAUAGGGUGAAGCCAGAGGAAACUCUGGUGGAGGCUCGCAGCGGUUCUGACGUGCAAAUCGAUCGUCAAAUUU